rnacentral:rRNA from 1 species
GCUUGCUUCUCUUGAGAGCGGCGGACGGGUGAGUAAUGCCUAGGAAUCUGCCUGGUAGUGGGGGAUAACGUUCGGAAACGGACGCUAAUACCGCAUACGUCCUACGGGAGAAAGCAGGGGACCUUCGGGCCUUGCGCUAUCAGAUGAGCCUAGGUCGGAUUAGCUAGUUGGUGAGGUAAUGGCUCACCAAGGCGACGAUCCGUAACUGGUCUGAGAGGAUGAUCAGUCACACUGGAACUGAGACACGGUCCAGACUCCUACGGGAGGCAGCAGUGGGGAAUAUUGGACAAUGGGCGAAAGCCUGAUCCAGCCAUGCCGCGUGUGUGAAGAAGGUCUUCGGAUUGUAAAGCACUUUAAGUUGGGAGGAAGGGCAGUUACCUAAUACGUAAUUGUUUUGACGUUACCGACAGAAUAAGCACCGGCUAACUCUGUGCCAGCAGCCGCGGUAAUACAGAGGGUGCAAGCGUUAAUCGGAAUUACUGGGCGUAAAGCGCGCGUAGGUGGUUAGUUAAGUUGGAUGUGAAAUCCCCGGGCUCAACCUGGGAACUGCAUUCAAAACUGACUGACUAG